rnacentral:rRNA from 1 species
CAGUAGCCACGGGAAUACGGAGGGAGCUAGCGUUGUUCGGGAUUACUGGGCGUAAAGCGCACGUAGGCGGCUUUGUAAGUUAGAGGUGAAAGCCUGGAGCUCAACUCCAGAAUUGCCUUUAAGACUGCAUCGCUUGAAUCCAGGAGAGGUGAGUGGAAUUCCGAGUGUAGAGGUGAAAUUCGUAGAUAUUCGGAAGAACACCAGUGGCGAAGGCGGCUCACUGGACUGGUAUUGACGCUGAGGUGCGAAAGCGUGGGGAGCAAACAGGAUUAGAUACCCGGGUAGUCCCUGUCUCUUAUAC